UACGGAGGGUGCAAGCGUUAUCCGGAUUUACUGGGGUUAAAGGGAGCGCAGGCGGAUUAGUAAGUCAGUGGUGAAAGCCUUGAGCUUAACUCGAGAACUGCCAUUGAUACUAUUAGUCUUGAAUGUUGUUGAGGUUUGCGGAAUGGGUCAUGUAGCGGUGAAAUGCAUAGAUAUGACCCGGAACACCUAUUGCGAAGGCAGCAGGCUAAACAAAUAUUGACGCUGAGGCUCGAAAGCGUGGGGAUCAAACAGG
rnacentral:rRNA from 1 species